GAAGUUCGCCAGGCCGUCGCUGGUGCAAUCGCCGAAAGGCCGCACUGGAGGAACGUCCGGACUGCACAGGGCAGCGUAGCAGGCAACACCUGUCCACCGCGAGGUGAGGAUCAGAGCAACAGAGACGAGUCCUCCAGGUCCGCGCAAGCGGGGCUGGAGGGGUGAAACGGGCAAUCUCUACGCGCAGCAAUACCAAAUAGGCCGGUGCACGGAGGGCGGCACGUCCGACCUCCCGAUCCCGUGGUCCCGCGGGCAGCCGGCGGGUAGGUAGCACCGAGCCGUGGGGGCGACCCCCGGCCCAGAAGAAUGGCGGUCACGCCCGGGCGACCGGGCGCACAAAAUCCGGCGUAUCGGCGGACUUCACAU
rnacentral:RNase_P_RNA from 1 species